rnacentral:rRNA from 1 species
CCAGACUCCUACGGGAGGCAGCAGUGGGGAAUAUUGCACAAUGGGGGAAACCCUGAUGCAGCGACGCCGCGUGAGUGAAGAAGUAUUUCGGUAUGUAAAGCUCUAUCAGCAGGGAAGAAAUAGCGACCUUUGGGUCGCCAGACGGUACCUGAUUAAGAAGCCCCGGCUAACUACGUGCCAGCAGCCGCGGUAAUACGGAGGAUGCGAGCGUUAUCCGGAUUUAUUGGGUUUAAAGGGUGCGUAGGCGGGCUGUUAAGUCAGCGGUCAAAUGUCGGGGCUCAACCCCGGCCUGCCGUUGAAACUGGCGGCCUCGAGUGGGCGAGAAGUAUGCGGAAUGCGUGGUGUAGCGGUGAAAUGCAUAGAUAUCACGCAGAACUCCGAUUGCGAAGGCAGCAUACCGGCGCCCGACUGACGCUGAGGCACGAAAGCGUGGGUAUCGAACAGGAUUAGAUACCCGGGUA